ensembl:lncRNA
AAACUACAACAACAACAUUGCUCUAACAGAUCAACCUCUGAGACCCACAGACAGAUUAGCCAGGGAGCGGCACACACAGCUCAUGGUGAAAAGCAAGUCCCAGCGAAGAGCUCCCCACAGAACAGACAAACAGAUUCCUAGCUACAGAGGACACGCUGGUGGAUGCCAGAAUGGAGAGAGAGAAAGAGAGAGAGAGAGAAGCAGUAUCCAGUGUGGCAGCCACUAACUACACGUGACCACAAAACACUUGAAAUGAGGCAAAUCUCAACUAGGAUGUGCUUUUGGGGGGAAAAAAAAUUAAAAGGGAG